rnacentral:lncRNA from 1 species
AUGGCUUCUCUUAAUGUUGGGUCGACAUACUCAAAUUAUACAGACUUUAAUAAUGCGCUCACCGCAUUCGAAAAUUUGUAUUUUGUCCAGUUUUACCGCCGCGACGCAAGAACAAUUGAACAAGUCAAACGAUUAAAUCCAAGGCACCAUUACAAUCCUGAGUUGAAGUAUGUGACCAUACAUCUGACUUGUAUACACGGUGGCAGAAAUGUAUUAUCACAUUCUGAAGGAGUGCGUCCGAAAACGAGUACCUGCAGGGUUGGAUGCCCAGCUUUAAUCAAAGUCAAAACUACAGAGAAUGGAGAGAGAUUAGUUGUAAAGGAAAUGGUUAAAAUACACAACCAUGAAGUCAGUGAGGCUGCAUUCAAGCACUACCCCAAGAGGAGACAACUAUGUCCCGCCAAGUGUUCCGAAUUGCUGACAAAGUACGAUGGCAACAAAAGAUUGGUGAUCGAAGAGCUCAUCAAAGUAACUGGAAAAGUCAUCCUACCGAAGGACAUUCACAACAUUGCAGUGACAAUGAACUGUCCUCCAAAAUGUGAGCGAAAGAAACAAGAGGUGAGCAAAGGGAUUCGAAUGGUGAUGGACACUGACACACAGCUAAGAGAACAGGCAAGAAAAAGGCGGCCUGGAUCUGGUGCAUGA